GUCGAGCGGAGAUGUACUGAAGAUUUAUCGGAUGUACAUCCUAGCGGCGGACGGGUGAGUAACGCGUGGGCAACCUGCCUUCCACUGGGGGAUAACACAGGGAAACCUGUGCUAAUACCGCAUGACAUCACAUAGGGCAUCCUGUGUGAUCAAAGGAGUGAUCCGGUGGAAGAUGGGCCCGCGUCCGAUUAGCUAGUUGGUGAGGUAACGGCCCACCAAGGCGACGAUCGGUAGCCGGACUGAGAGGUUGGCCGGCCACAUUGGGACUGAGACACGGCCCAGACUCCUACGGGAGGCAGCAGUGGGGAAUAUUGCGCAAUGGGGGGAACCCUGACGCAGCGACGCCGCGUGAAGGAAGAAGGCCUUCGGGUUGUAAACUUCUUUGAUGAGGGACGAAGGAAGUGACGGUACCUCAAAAACAAGCCACGGCUAACUACGUGCCAGCAGCCGCGGUAAUACGUAGGUGGCGAGCGUUGUCCGGAAUUACUGGGUGUAAAGGGCGUGUAGGCGGGGAUGCAAGUCAGAUGUGAAAUACCGCGGCUUAACCGCGGGGCUGCAUCUGAAACUGUGUCUCUUGAGUGUCGGAGAGGAAAGCGGAAUUCCCAGUGUAGCGGUGAAAUGCGUA
rnacentral:rRNA from 1 species